GAGUAACACGUAGGUGACCUGCCUCGAAGCAGGGGAUAACGGCUCGAAAGGGCCGCUAGUACCCAAAAGGGUUGCGAGUCGCAUCGCAAUCAGAGUUACGGCGUUUCGAGAGGGGCCUGCGGCCCAUCAGCUAGUUGGUAGGGUAAUAGCCUACCAAGGCGACGACGGGUAGGGGGCCUGAGAGGGUGACCCCCCACACUGGCACUGAAACACGGGCCAAACUCCUACGGGAGGCAGCAGUGAGGAAUAUUGCGCAAUGAGCGAAAGCUAGACGCAGCAACGCCGCGUGGACGAUGAAGGCCUUCGGGUCGUAAAGUCCUUUUCAGGGGGACGAAGAGAGGACGGUACCUCUGGAAUAAGUCACGGCUAACUACGUGCCAGCAGCCGCGGUAAAACGUAGGUGGCAAGCGUUAUCCGGAUUCACUGGGCGUAAAGCGCUGCAGGCGGUCUUGUAAGUGGGGCGUGAAAUCUCCUGGCUCAACUGGGGAGGGUCGUUCCAUACUGCGAGGCUUGAGGGCAGAAGAGGGAAGUGGAAUUCCCGGUGUAGUGGUGAAAUGCGUAGAUAUCGGGAGGAACACCAGUGGCGAAGGCGACUUCCUGGUCUGCUCCUGACGCUAAGAGGGCGAAAGCUAGGGGAGCGAACGGGAUUAGAAACCCCGGUAGUCCUAGCCAUAAACGAUGGAUGCUAGGUGUAGGUGGUCCUAACCCCAUCUGUGCCGAAGCCAACGCGUUAAGCAUCCCGCCUGGGGACUACGGCCGCAAGGUUAAAACUCAAAGGAAUUGACGGGGGCCCGCACAAGCAGCGGAGCGUGUGGUUUAAUUCGAUGCUACACGAAGAACCUUACCCAGGUUUGACAUGCAGGUAGUAGUGAAGCGAAAGCAGAACGACCCUUCGGGGAGCCUGCACAGGUGCUGCAUGGCUGUCGUCAGCUCGUGCCGUGAGGUGUUGGGUUAAGUCCCCUAACGAGCGCAACCCUCGUCGUCAGUUAUAUGUGUCUGGCGAGACUGCCGGUCUAAAGCCGGAGGAAGGUGGGGAUGAUGUCAAGUCAGCAUGGCCUUUAUAUCUGGGGCUACACACACGCUACAAUGGCCGGUACAAUGGUCGCCAACCCGCGAGGGGGAGCCAAUCCUAAAAAGCCGUCUCAGUUCGGAUUGGAGGCU
rnacentral:rRNA from 1 species